rnacentral:rRNA from 1 species
GAAUUUUAUAUGAAUUUAUUAAAAAUGCGUUAGUUGUAGAAUUGAUAAUUUUAUAUUUUAUUGGGAGGAUAGGUAAAUUAGAUAAACUUUAGUUAAUAAUAGACCAUUAAUUUAUGAUUUAUUAGUAUUGAGUGAUUAGAAAUAAAUUUAAGAAGAAUUAAUUACCUUAGGGAUAACAGCAUUAUAUCUUUAGAGAGAUCAUAUUAAUAAAGAUGAUUGU